ACCUGCUUAAAGGCUUUUGCUGGUCGCCGGCUUUUUAGAGGGACUGUCUGCGUCUAGCCGAAGGAAGUUUGAGGCAAUAACAGGUUUGUGAUGCCCUUAGAUGUUUUGGGCCGCACGCGCGCUACACUGACAGAGCCAGCGAGUUAUUUUCCUUGGCCGGAAGGUCUGGGUAAUCUUGUGAAACUCUGUCGUGCUGGGGAUAGAGCAUUGCAAUUAUUGCUCUUCAACGAGGAAUUCCUAGUAAGCGUGAGUCAUCAGCUCGCGGUUGAUUUACGUUCCCUGCCC
rnacentral:rRNA from 1 species